rnacentral:rRNA from 1 species
UACGUAGGGGGCUAGCGUUGCCCGGAAUCAUUGGGCGUAAAGCGCGUGUAGGCGGUUCGGUAAGUCCGCUGUGAAAGUCGGGGGCUCAACCCUCGAAUGCCGGUGGAUACUGUCGGACUAGAGUACGGAAGAGGCGAGUGGAAUUCCUGGUGUAGCGGUGAAAUGCGCAGAUAUCAGGAGGAACACCAAUUGCGAAGGCAGCUCGCUGGGACGUUACUGACGCUGAGACGCGAAAGCGUGGGGAGCAAACAGG